rnacentral:misc_RNA from 1 species
ACCCAACCGAACCGGACCGAACCGAUUACCCAUCAUCACCUACUGUACAGCCGCUAUAACUACACAACGGCUCUCUGAGAACACAGCCUCAACUAGACUGGAAACAUGAACGACUCCAAACUCAUCCUGUGUCAAUACUGCAGCGAGAUGAUCAACCCGCUCCGCCUGGACCACCAUCAGAAAAGCUGCCGAGAAAACGCGGAGCGAAGAAAGACGUCAGAGUCCAGAGGAAGGUCCAGGUAUUAUCUGCACAGGACCGGUCCGAUUUCCACCAACAGAGGAUACAGACUGGAGAGUGCGUGAAGACCGGGCCAGCUAGAUUCAUUCGGACCCGACAAAGGAACCACAGCUUGACUUGAGUGGAGAGAGACUAACAGACUGAAUGGUACAGGGCAGCAGCUACUGGAUAGCUACAAUGCACUCAUGGUACCAGACAGAGCGAAGAUGAUCAAAUGUAUUAUAAAGAAUAAAAGGCGCUACGGCGCAUGCAUG